CGCGGACCCCGGGGUACGAGAGAGGAUGGGCGCGGAGGGAGCGGAGCGAUGGGGUCUGGCAUCAUGGCAUGUGUCGCUUGCAACCUGCCACGCAGCUUCUCGGGCCUCGGAGGGAAGAGGGUGUGUGUAGGGAGGGCGGGGAAGCCUCAAUUUCUCUGCGCCUUCGUUCUCCCAUCGCUGGUCUUUUCCCGCUUUCUUCGGGUUCACCUGUUUGUUUUCAUCCGCCAGAGCUUGCAGUUUUGUUUUUGUUUUUGUUUUACUACAUAGUCUUGAGAAGCCCUUUCUUUUAUUAGAGGCAUUGGGGAUGGGGGUGAAUUGCUGUAAUUUAUGCCGGUCCAGGUCGGUUUUCAAGAAGGGGGAGGGGACUUGGCGGACACCGCUUGCUCCUGGCCUGAGCUGACCCCAGGCUGCUCCCCGCCUUCCCGGGCCAAGGAAUCCUUUCCCUCACUCCGCUGCCUGCUCGCCAGAAGCCACCUUCUUGGAGAAGGACCACACCUGUGCUUAUUCCCGCUCUGGAGGCGAGCAUCAUCAUGCUCUGGGCGAUGACCCCACUUUUCCUUCUGCUUCUCCACAUAUCGAACCAGAAGGGGAUCGUUCAGUCUUUCACUUCAUGGGGAGCCUUCUGAGGGAGUCAUACGGUUCAACCAGAAAGGACAUCACCAGCCCGCACAGAGACUGACAGGCUGCCCUGGCUCAGUUAUCACAGUGCUGAUGCUGUCCAUUCUAAAGGUACAGUACUGUGAUAACUGAAGGAUGGCAGCCAACUUGCCUUCCAUCAGAGGAUCGAGUCCCAGCGUGCCAGAAGGAAGAUGGUUGAAAGAGGCAUGUGGAAUGGGUGCGGGAACCCCAGAACCCUCCUACACUGUUCCUCCACUGUACCUUCUCUUGCAGGGAGAGAAUAUUGUUCUGUCUGUCUUUGCCUUGUUUUGCAACAUAGGGACAAAGGGAGUUGGGUGGCUGUUUGCACAGCAGCAUGAAGACUUGUACCGAAUGGACAUAGAGUAAGAUCUUUGACAUUUUUAAGAGACUGGUAUUUUGGACAUUUAUGAAGAUCUUUGAAACUUGUCGGAGACUGGUAUUAGAUAAGUACUGAGUGUAAAUUAAUAUUUUUGGAAUGAUUGUGCCAUUUUUAGAAAUGUAAAUGGUGAUCUAACUAGAGUAGCUUGGCACUUGUCAAUAUUAGAUGUUCAGAGUGAAAUUCAACUGAAAAGAAGAGAGAGAGAAAGCCCUACAUAUUGAACAGCAUUGUUAUAAUUCAGAGAUUUUUAACCCCUUUCAUCUCAUGGCACAUAAACUAAUUACUAAAAUUCUGCAGCACACCAAAAAAUGUUUUAUUUUUUGCCGAUCUAACAAAAAAAUAGGUUUAGUUUUGAUUCUCAUCAGAUGGCUAUUGUGUUGGCUGUUGUCAUUUUAUAUUUGACAGCCUAUGGAAAAAGAGGUCAGAUAUUGGCCGAAACCGGUCAGGUAUUGCAUGCUUUAAAAAUUCUUGUGACAUGCCAGUUGAAAAUUACUGAUAUAAUUGCAUGAAUAAAAUUACAUCUUUUGUUGAAGGAAUGGAUAGGGGCAUAGCAUUUUGUUUUUCAAGAGCAUGAAUAUUUAAAAUGGAAUAUAAUUUUAAAAAUGUUUGUUGAAUGCCCAUGUUAUUGCUGAUGGCAUCACCUUCACAUGAAAAUAAAAUGGAAAUUAUUUUUAUCAACUA